rnacentral:rRNA from 1 species
UACGCCGGGGACUAGCGUUGUUCGGAAUCACUGGGCGUAAAGCGCACGUAGGCGGAUUUGUAAGUCAGGGGUGAAAUCCCGGGGCUCAACCUCGGAACUGCCUUUGAUACUGCGAAUCUUGAGUCCGAUAGAGGUGGGUGGAAUUCCUAGUGUAGAGGUGAAAUUCGUAGAUAUUAGGAAGAACACCAGUGGCGAAGGCGGCCCACUGGAUCGGUACUGACGCUGAGGUGCGAAAGCGUGGGGAGCAAACAGG